GAGGAUAUAGCUCAUGUGGUAGAGCGCAUGCUUAGCAUGCAUGAGGUCCGUGGGCUCAAUCCCCAGUACUUCCA
rnacentral:tRNA from 1 species